AACGAACGCUGGCGGCGCGCCUAAUACAUGCAAGUCGAGCGAGAAGGUGUAGCAAUACACUUGUAAAGCGGCGAACGGGUGAGGAAUACAUGGGUAAUCUACCAUCGAGUGGGGAAUAACCAACCGAAAGGUUGGCUAAUACCGCGUACGCCUCCGAGUCUUCGGGUUCGGAGGGAAAGCUGCACUGUGAGUGUAGCGCUCUUUGAUGAGCUCAUGUCCUAUCAGCUUGUUGGUAGGGUAACGGCCUACCAAGGCUUUGACGGGUAGCUGGUCUGAGAGGACGAUCAGCCACACUGGCACUGCGACACGGGCCAGACUCCUACGGGAGGCAGCAGUAAGGAAUAUUGCGCAAUGGGCGAAAGCCUGACGCAGCGACGCCGCGUGGGGGAUGAAGGUCUUCGGAUUGUAAACCCCUUUCGGGAGGGAAGAUGGAGCGAGCAAUCGUUCGGACGGUACCUCCAGAAGCAGCCACGGCCAACUACGUGCCAGC
rnacentral:rRNA from 1 species